rnacentral:rRNA from 1 species
CCUACGGGUGGCUGCAGUAGGGAAUCUUUCACAAUGGGCGCAAGCCUGAUGGAGCAACGCCGCGUGCAGGAUGAAGGCCUUCGGGUUGUAAACUGCUUUUAUAAGCGAGAAAUAUGAUGGUAACUUAUUAAUAUGGAUCGGCUAACUACGUGCCAGCAGCCGCGGUCAUACGUAGGAUCCGAGCAUUAUCUGGGGUGACUGGGUGUAAAGGGUUGCGUAGGUGGGAUAAUAAGUAGCUAGUGAAAUCUGGUUGGCCAACCAUUCAGACUAUUAGCUAAACUGUUAAGCUCGAGACCGUGAGGGGUAACUGGAAUUUCUAGUGUAGGAGUGAAAUCCGUAGAUAUUAGAAGGAACACCAAUAGCGUAGGCAGGUUACUGGGACGGUUCUGACACUAAGGCACGAAAGCGUAGGGAGCAAACGGGAUUAGAUACCCGAGUAGUC